rnacentral:rRNA from 1 species
GAUGAACGCUGGCGGCGUGCCUAAUACAUGCAAGUCGAGCGAAUGGAUUAAGAGCUUGCUCUUAUGAAGUUAGCGGCGGACGGGUGAGUAACACGUGGGUAACCUGCCCAUAAGACUGGGAUAACUCCGGGAAACCGGGGCUAAUACCGGAUAACAUUUUGAACCGCAUGGUUCGAAAUUGAAAGGCGGCUUCGGCUGUCACUUAUGGAUGGACCCGCGUCGCAUCAGCUAGUUGGUGAGUUAACGGCUCACCAAGGCAACGAUGCGUAGCCGACCUGAGAGACUGAUCGGCCACACUGGGACUGAGACACGGCCCAGACUCCUACGGGAGGCAGCAGUAGGGAAUCUUCCGCAAUGGACGAAAGUCUGACGGAGCAACGCCGCGUGAGUGAUGAAGGCUUUCGGGUCGUAAAACUCUGUUGUUAGGGAAGAACAAGUGCUAGUUGAAUAAGCUGGCACCUUGACGGUACCUAACCAGAAAGCCACGGCUAACUACGUGCCAGCCGCCGCAGUAA